UACUGUUGUGCCGGUGCCCAGCCUAUAAAACGCGCACAUACCUCGUGACUGGGAACCAGCGACAAAUCGGUAUAGUGCAUGCUGGGCAGCACGAGUUUGUACGGUCUCUUGUGCACGGGACGUUGAGGUGAGUAGAUGUGUUUAUGUGCCUAUGUCCCUAUGUGAGUAUUGUGUGUGAAAUAGUGAGCCUGCGUAUAGUUUAUAUUGUAUUAUAUGGUAUUGUAUUGUAUAUGUGUGUCGGUAACUGUGAGCCUGUAAUUGUGAACCUGUGCGUGUAACCCUGAGUACGUAAGUAGUUCCAGGGGGUUUAGCCUGUUUAUGUAAGCCAGUGUCUAGCUGUGAGCCUGUGUGUAUUGUAUUAUAUUGUAUUUUAUGUGCGUUCAACACGUAUUUACCUGGAAGGCCAUUCCCAGAAGAUAUAAGUGAGUCUGUGACUGUGUAUGUAAGCCGGUGGCUGUGUGUUUAAGUACGUGUUUGCCUGGAAGUGUAUUCCCAGAAGUACAUGUAUAGUGCCAUUUCGUGACGUGGACGAGCCGACAAGUGUACCCGACGAGCCGACGAGUGCACCCGACGAGCCGACGAGUGUACCCGACGAGCCGACGCGUGAAGCCGACAAGUUCCCUCGAAGACGACGAGGACGAUUGGUGCCGUCCAGACGUGGAUUCCAGUCGAUGCCCAUACGUUGCGCAGAAAGAGAGGUCGGACGAAAGCUGGCCGGCAUGCAGACCUAUAACAUUGAGGUGUUCGGUCAAGGUGCUUACGCGAGGGGCACUAUUACUUCAUCGGUAUAUAGCGCCGGUACGAUUCCUUCGCUGUGUGGCGUCGUCCCAAAAGGAGAAAAGUGGGAGGAGUGUUGUGCCGGUGCCCAGCCUAUAAAACGCGCACAUACCUCGUGACUGGGAACCAGCGACAAAUCGGUAUAGUGCAUGCUGGGCAGCACGAGUUUGUACGGUCUCUUGUGCACGGGACGUUGAGGUGAGUAGAUGUGUUUAUGUGCCUAUGUCCCUAUGUGAGUAUUGUGUGUGAAAUAGUGAGCCUGCGUAUAGUUUAUAUUGUAUUAUAUGGUAUUGUAUUGUAUAUGUGUGUCGGUAACUGUGAGCCUGUAAUUGUGAACCUGUGCGUGUAACCCUGAGUACGUAAGUAGUUCCAGGGGGUUUAGCCUGUGUAUGUAAGCCAGUGUCUAGCUGUGAGCCUGUGUGUAUUGUAUUAUAUUGUAUUUUAUGUGCGUUCAACACGUAUUUACCUGGAAGGCCAUUCCCAGAAGAUAUAAGUGAGUCUGUGACUGUGUAUGUAAGCCGGUGGCUGUGUGUUUAAGUACGUGUUUGCCUGGAAGUGUAUUCCCAGAAGUACAUGUAUAGUGCCAUUUCGUGACGUGGACGAGCCGACAAGUGUACCCGACGAGCCGACGAGUGCACCCGACGAGCCGACGAGUGUACCCGACGAGCCGACGCGUGAAGCCGACAAGUUCCCUCGAAGACGACGAGGACGAUUGGUGCCGUCCAGACGUGGAUUCCAGUCGAUGCCCAU